UGGGGAAUAUUGCACAAUGGGCGCAAGCCUGAUGCAGCCAUGCCGCGUGUAUGAAGAAGGCCUUCGGGUUGUAAAGUACUUUCAGCGGGGAGGAAGGGAGUAAAGUUAAUACCUUUGCUCAUUGACGUUACCCGCAGAAGAAGCACCGGCUAACUCCGUGCCAGCAGCCGCGGUAAUACGGAGGGUGCAAGCGUUAAUCGGAAUUACUGGGCGUAAAGCGCACGCAGGCGGUUUGUUAAGUCAGAUGUGAAAUCCCCGGGCUCAACCUGGGAACUGCAUCUGAUACUGGCAAGCUUGAGUCUCGUAGAGGGGGGUAGAAUUCCAGGUGUCGCGGUGAAAUGCGUAGAGAUCUGGAGGAAUACCGGUGGCGCAGGCGGCCCCCUAGACGAAGACUGACGCUCAGGUGCGAAAGCGUGGGGAGCAAACAGG
rnacentral:rRNA from 1 species